rnacentral:rRNA from 1 species
GCUACUGGACCUAGCGGCGGACGGGUGAGUAAUACUUAGGAAUCUGCCUAUUAGUGGGGGACAACGUUCCGAAAGGAGCGCUAAUACCGCAUACGCCCUACGGGGGAAAGCAGGGGAUCUUCGGACCUUGCGCUAAUAGAUGAGCCUAAGUCGGAUUAGCUAGUUGGUGGGGUAAAGGCCUACCAAGGCGACGAUCUGUAGCGGGUUUGAGAGGAUGAUCCGCCACACUGGGACUGAGACACGGCCCAGACUCCUACGGGAGGCAGCAGUGGGGAAUAUUGGACAAUGGGCGCAAGCCUGAUCCAGCCAUGCCGCGUGUGUGAAGAAGGCCUUAUGGUUGUAAAGCACUUUAAGCGAGGAGGAGGCUUACCUAGUUAAUACCUAGGAUAAGUGGACGUUACUCGCAGAAUAAGCACCGGCUAACUCUGUGCCAGCAGCCGCGGUAAUACAGAGGGUGCAAGCGUUAAUCGGAAUUACUGGGCGUAAAGCGCGCGUAGGUGGCCAUUUAAGUCGAAUGUGAAAU